rnacentral:tRNA from 1 species
CCCUGACUAGCUCAGUUGUAAGGGCAUGAGACCCCUAAUCUCAGGUUAGUGGGUUCGUGUCCCACGUCGGGCA